CUGAUUCCCUUCCCUCUCCCACCCCCUCCUCCGUCCUCUACUGCUCUCCGCUAUGCUCCGAAGCCGACGCCGACCUCCACCUCUCCAGCGCCGAGCACCACCUCCUCUGCUCGGACCUCGCCCCGGGCGGUGACACCUCCGACCUCCGCGCCACGCUCCGCCUCCUCCUCCGCUUCGAGCGCCACAACCUCAUUCCCCGCAAAACUAAUCUGUUGGACAGAAUUGGCGGCUUGAUGAGCAAUCGCAAUGAAUUGAUGCACGAAGAACAAGAUGGCGACAGUUUGGCAAGGAUUAAGGGUGGCGCAAAGGCAAUGGUGAUGGCGAGAAGAAUGCGAGACAAUUUAGAUUUGGAGUACUCCGGGGAGUGUGUGUUGGAAGAGGCCGUGUUGUGUGUGGUGCUAACAAAUGCUGUGGAGGUGCAGGUUAAUGGAGGUCCUCUUGUCGGGAUUGCUGUGUACGAUACGACCUUCUCAUGGAUCAAUCACAGCUAGCUGCUCUCCCAAUGCUUGUUACACGUUUCCGCUGCCGGAUUAUUCCGGUGGUGGUCAAGGUUGUGCAUUCUUCGUGCUGCCACAGGCUGUGGCUGCAGCAGUAAUGGGAUUGAAGGGAUGCAAAAUGGCGGUUGUGAUAAUUAUGAAUCAACGGAAGGUAGUA